rnacentral:ncRNA from 1 species
UUAAAGGCAGAGAAGGAGAAAGUAACUAAAUAAGAUUUUAAGAGAGAUUAACUGCAGCAGCUGAAAGCAGUUAAAUUAUUAAAUUUAGUGAAAUUCACUCUGGAGCUGAGGGCUGAAAUUAGUAAGCUUAUCCGGAAGUAAAUACUUUCGUUAACAAAUAAAGUGAUUCCACAUUAAACUGUGGGAUAAUCAGGGUGGUAACACGGUAUCUCGUCCCUUUA